AUUGAACGCUGGCGGCAGGCCUAACACAUGCAAGUCGAGCGGAGCGGCGGACGGGUGAGUAAUGCCUAGGAAUCUGCCUAGUAGUGGGGGAUAACUACCGGAAACGGGAGCUAAUACCGCAUACUAUCGGAUGAGCCUAGGUCGGAUUAGCUAGUUGGUGGGGUAAAGGCCGACCAAGGCGACGAUCCGUAACUGGUCUGAGAGGAUGAUCAGUCACACUGGAACUGAGACACGGUCCAGACUCCUACGGGAGGCAGCAGUGGGGAAUAUUGGACAAUGGGCGAAAGCCUGAUCCAGCCAUGCCGCGUGUGUGAAGAAGGUCUUCGGAUUGUAAAGCACUUUAAGCUGGGAGGCGUUACCAGCAGAAUAAGCACCGGCUAACUUCGUGCCAGCAGCCGCGGUAAUAC
rnacentral:rRNA from 1 species